UACGUAGGGUGCAAGCGUUGUCCGGAAUUAUUGGGCGUAAAGAGCUCGUAGGCGGUUUGUCGCGUCGAAUGUGAAAACCCGGGGCUCAACCCCGGGCCUGCAUUCGAUACGGGCAGACUAGAGUUCGGUAGGGGAGUCUGGAAUUCCUGGUGUAGCGGUGAAAAUGCGCAGAUAUCAGGAGGAACACCGGUGGCGAAGGCGGGACUCUGGGCCGAUACUGACGCUGAGGAGCGAAAGCGUGGGGGAGCAAACAGG
rnacentral:rRNA from 1 species